rnacentral:misc_RNA from 1 species
AACUUUUGACAACGGAUCUCUUGGCUCUCGCAUCGAUGAAGAACGCAGCGAAAUGCGAUACGUAAUGUGAAUUGCAGAAUUCAUUGAAUCAUCGAAUCUUUGAAAGCACAUUGCACUCCCUGGUAUCCCGGGGAGUAUGCUUGUUUGAGUAUCAGGAAACACCUAAAGUGUGUUCUCUAGAGAAGGGAGUUGAACUUGAGCAAUCCCAACUUUUUUAUUAAAGGCGGGUUGCUUGAAAUGCAGGUGCAGCUCGACAUUCUUCUGAGCUAAAAGCAUAUUUAUUUAGUCCCGUCAAACGGAUUAUUACUUUUGCUCUAGCUAAUAUAAAGGUCGAAUGUGCUAUAUGCUGACUGAUGCCGGAUUACCAAGUUUUACCUAGUAAAACUUGUAAACUCGAUCUCAAAUCAAGUAAGACUACCCGCUGAACUUAAGCAUAUCAAUAAGCGGAGGC